AAAAGGCCAAUCUCAUAAAACCAAUCUCAAGCUGAUAACGUGUCUGCCGUGAGAGGUUUGGCAUGACAUGCAGCGGCACCGUCUCAGCCUCUGUCCGGCGCGGGUGAAAUAAUUAUAAUUCUUUAGGCCCAUCCCACAGGUGUGCCAUGUCACUGCAGGAAGAGUCAAUCUUACAUAACCUGGACUUCUGGUUCCUCUGUCAAAGCACUCAUCUGCUGCUCAUGAGGGAUGGAUGAUUACACGUCAACUUACUCGUCCUCUUUUUGACUUGUAAAUACUUCAAAGCAUGCAGACAAGUGCAAACAAGCUCUGACUGAUGACAUGACAAGACAUGACAGAGGAAGUCAAAGACACCUGCAUGUCAAGAACAUGCAAAUAUA